rnacentral:lncRNA from 1 species
UGGAAGGGGCUUUUCGGUUGUAACCCUUGGGUUAGUUUCAGUUACUUCUUUGCUAGGUUGAGGAAAGGGUGGAAGCGCCUCCUGCAGCCACGAAUAUCCUCCAGUGCCUGAGAGAAAACGGCCUAAUCGAAAACGUCCGCGGCAUACAUCCAUUCUUAAAACUUGAGUGGCUGCUUUUCUGGGUGGAAAAGAGCGGUAUCAGACAGGGUGAGCAGUCGGGGAACGGAUGAACAAAGACUUGCACCGUGGCCCUGAUGCCUUUGUUCCGAGUUCUAUUCAGUUGUACUUGUGCGUUGUUACAGGACUUUAGAAUGCAGCCCUGCCCCCCAACCCCCACCUCCCAGGGCCGACCUGUGCUCCUAGGAAGGCAAACCUCCCAGGAAUAUAUUCUGCAUAACUAUACAAAUAGGCCUUUAUUCAAGGCUUUUGGAUUAUGACAAAGAUUACCCUCAGGAGUAGUAAGAUUCUACUAGCAGGAUAAUAGAAAGGAUUAAGGCUCCCCUCCAAAGAAAAUUUUUUUAAGUUAGAAACGGAGGCGAGCCGCAGUGGGUCAUGCCUGUAAUUUCAAUGCUUUGGAAGGCCGAGGUGGGAGGAUAGGAUAGCUUGAGGCUAGGAGUUCGAGACCAGCCUGGGCAACAUGGGGAGACCCCCCCCCAUCCCUCCAAAAAAGAAAAGAAAACUGGAAAGCCUUAAAGAAACCUUUCAAACUUUAGUGUGUAUCAGAAUUACCUGAAAGGUUUGUUAAAACAGAUUGCUGGGCCAUACCCCCAGAAUUCUCUGACUGGGCUAUCGGAAAUAAUGCCUGAGAAUGUGCAUAUCUAAUAAGUUCCUAGUUCCACUUUAGGACCCUAGAAGGUUAGUAUCUUUCCUCUCUACCAGGCUUAUCUUAGGAUGAACCGUUCGGGGUUUGCUGAUGUGAAGCUAAAACAAAAAUAUUCUUUAAAAGGAGGGAUGUCUUAUUCAGUCCAUAAGAUCAUCUAAUGUAUUAAGCUGGCUUGGGGGAUGAAUCGGGUGUUUCAUUCAUUCAUUUGACAGGUAAGCAUUGCUUACCUACUCUAUUAUGACGGGGUCUGUGCUGACUCCGAAUAUUCGGUGGGAUGCAAAAUAGUUAAGUGCUCUUGUAGAGUUUACAGAUUAGCGGAAAACAGACAAAUUGUGUUAAGAGCAAUAGAAAGAAGAGAGCGGAGGACUCUGAGAAAUGAAGGCGAGGAGUGGGAGAAUGAGAGGAAGGUGGAAGGCAGGUAAGGAGUCUGACCAGCUGGUAUUUAAAAGCUAAGAUGGGGGGAAGAGUCUCCCAGGAGAGUGAACAGCAAGUGUCAAGGACCUGAGGCAGGAACAAGCUUGGCUUCUUCCACAAAUUGAAAGAAGAUCCAUAUGAAAGAGUCAGAGAAGAUGCAAUGGGAGAUGAAGACUGAGAGAUAAGGAAGAGUGAAACAGUGCAAGAAUUUGUAGACUGCUCUAAGCAUUUUAAAGUUUAUCUUAAAAGCAGCUUGAUAAAUUAGAUUUAUGGUAAUUAGUUUAAAAAUAAAAAUAAAGCAACUUGAAAGG